rnacentral:rRNA from 1 species
CCUACGGGUGGCAGCAGUGGGGAAUAUUGCGCAAUGGGCGAAAGCCUGACGCAGCGACGCCGCGUGCGGGAUGAAGGCCUUCGGAUCGUAAACCUCUGUUAGCAGGGAAGAACAGUCACUGUGCUAAUCAGCAGUGAAUUGACGGUACCUGCAAAGGAAGCACCGGCUAACUCCGUGCCAACAGCCGCGGUAAUACAGAGGAUGCGAGCGUUAAUCGGAAUUAUUGGGCGUAAAGCGCUCGUAGGCGGUUUGUCAAGUCAAGGGGGAAAUCCCCGGGCUCCACGCGGGAACUGCCUUUGAAACUAGCAAACUAGAGUGUGUGAGAGGUUAGUGGAAUUCCAGGUGUAGGAGUGAAAUGCGUAGAUAUCUGGAGGAACAUCAGAGGCGAAGGCGGCUAACUGGCACAAUACUGACGCUGAGGAGCGAAAGCGUGGGUAGCAAACAGGAUUAGAUACCCGGGUAGUC